AACGAACGCUGGCGGCAGGCUUAACACAUGCAAGUCGAGCGCCCCGCAAGGGGAGCGGCCGACGGGUGAGUAACGCGUGGGCACGUACCUUUUGGUUCGGAACAACUCCGGGAAACUGGAGCUAAUACCGGAUAAGCCCUAACGGGGAAAGAUUUAUCGCCGAAAGAUCGGCCCGCGUCUGAUUAGCUAGUUGGUGAGGUAACGGCUCACCAAGGCGACGAUCAGUAGCUGGUCUGAGAGGAUGAUCAGCCACACUGGGACUGAGACACGGCCCAGACUCCUACGGGAGGCAGCAGUGGGGAAUAUUGGACAAUGGGCGCAAGCCUGAUCCAGCCAUGCCGCGUGAGUGAUGAAGGCCUUAGGGUUGUAAAGCUCUUUUGUCCGGGAAGAUAAUGACUGUACCGGAAGAAUAAGCCCCGGCUAACUUCGUG
rnacentral:rRNA from 1 species